AUGACAUCAAUGCAUGAUUUAGGUAAAAGCCCACCCGACAGAUAGUGAUCUGAAGCUGGGAUUGGCCUGACGGGGUAGCUUAGGGGUUUCAAUCCUAGCUCUGCACAUAUGAACAUAUCCUUAGGCAGCUUUCCACUCCCUGAGACACCAUGUCAUUAGCUAUGACACAGUCUGAUGUGAGCCUGAUACCUGCUACCUACCUGCUAACCUGCCUCAACACCUCAACCUACCUGCUGCUUGCCCUCGACAUCACAGAGCUCUAUCAGGUUCUACUGGGUUCACUCGGGUUCUACUAGAUUCUACCAGGUUCUGAGGUUCUACCAGGUUCUACUAGGGUCUAUCAUACUGUUCCACUGUUCUCAGGGCGGGGUAUCACCAAACAUAGAGGUGAGCAUUCACCAGGGUUAGAAGUUGGCUUUAGGCUUAGAGAGUGGAGGUGUCUUUAGGCUUAGAGAGUGGAGGUGGCUUUAGGCUUAGAGAGUGGAGGUGGCUUUAGGCUUAGAGAGUGGAGGUGUCUUUAGGCUUAGAGAGUGGAGGUGUCUUUAGGCUUAGAGAGUGGAGGUGGCUUUAGGCUUAGAGAGUGGAGGUGGCUUUAGGCUUAGAGAGUGGAGGUGUCUUUAGGCUUAUAGAGUGGAGGUGGCUUUAGGCUUAGAGAGUGGAGGUGGCUUUAGGCUUAGAGAGUGGAGGUGUCUUUAGGCUUAGAGAGUGGAGGUGUCUUUAGGCUUAGAGAGUGGUGGCUUUAGGAUUAGAGAGUGGAGGUGUCUUUAGGCUUAUAGAGUGGUGGCUUUAGGAUUAGAGAGUGGAGGUGUCUUUAGGCUUAGAGAGUGGAGGUGUCUUUAGGCUUAGAGAGUGGAGGUGUCUUUAGGCUUAUAGAGUGGAGGUGUCUUUAGGCUUAGAGAGUGGAGGUGUCUUUAGGCUUAUAGAGUGGAGGUGUCUUUAGGCUUAUAGAGUGGUGGCUUUAGGCUUAGAGAGUGGUGGCUUUAGGCUUAGAGAGUGGAGGUGGCUUUAGGCUUAGAGAGUGGUGGCUUUAGGCUUAGAGAGUGGAGGUGGCUUUAGGCUUAGAGAGUGGAGGUGGCUUUAGGCUUAGAGAGUGGUGGCUUUAGGCUUAGAGAGUGGAGGUGGCUUUAGGCUUAUAGAGUGGAGGUGGCUUUAGGCUUAGAGAGUGGAGGUGGCUUUAGGCUUAUAGAGUGGAGGUGGCUUUAGGCUUAGAGAGUGGAGGUGGCUUUAGGCUUAGAGAGUGGUGGCUUUAGGCUUAGAGAGUGGAGGUGGCUUUAGGCUUAGAGAGUGGAGGUGGCUUUAGGCUUAGAGAGUGGAGGUAGCUUUAGGCUUAGAGAGUGGAGGUGGCUUUAGGCUUAGAGAGUGGAGGUGGCUUUAGGCUUAGAGAGUGGAGGUGGCUUUAGGCUUAGAGAGUGGAGGUGGCUUUAGGCUUAGAGAGUGGAGGUGGCUUUAGGCUUAGAGAGUGGAGGUGGCUUUAGGCUUAGAGAGUGGAGGUGGCUUUAGGCUUAUAGAGUGGAGGUGGCUUUAGGCUUAGAGAGUGGAGGUGU